rnacentral:rRNA from 1 species
CACGUAGGGCGCGAGCGUUGUCCGGAAUUAUUGGGCGUAAAGAGCUCGUAGGCGGCCUGUUGCGUCCGCUGUGAAAGCCCGGGGCUUAACCCCCGGGUCUGCAGUGGAUACGGGCAGGCUAGAGGUAGGUAGGGGAGAAUGGAAUUCCCGGUGUAGCGGUGAAAUGCGCAGAUAUCGGGAGGAACACCGGUGGCGAAGGCGGUUCUCUGGGCCUUACCUGACGCUGAGGAGCGAAAGCGUGGGGAGCGAACAGGAUUAGA